UGAGGAAUUUUGCGCAAUGGGAGCAACCCUGACGCAGCAACGCCGCGUGAGUGAGGAAGGUUUUCGGACCGUAAAGCUCUGUCGAGCGGGAAGAAAUGUAUCGUGGCUAAUAUCCAUGAUAUUUGACGGUACCGCUAAAGGAAGCACCGGCUAACUCCGUGCCAGCAGCCGCGGUAAUACGGGGGGUGCAAGCGUUGUUCGGAAUUAUUGGGCGUAAAGAGCGUGUAGGCGGCUGAAUAAGUCAGAUGUGAAAUCCCUGGGCUUAACCCAGGAAGUGCAUUUGAAACUAUUCAGCUUGAGUAGGGGAGAGGAAAGUGGAAUUCCUGGUGUAGAGGUGAAAUUCGUAGAGAUCGGGAGGAAUAUCAGUGGCGAAGGCGCCCAUCUGGACGGUAACUGACGCUGAGACGCGAAAGCGUGGGGAGCAACCA
rnacentral:rRNA from 1 species